GCCCGGGUGGUGGAAUUGGUAGACACGCAGGACUUAAAAUCCUGUAAUCAUUGCGAUUGUGCGGGUUCAAGUCCCGCCCCGGGUA
rnacentral:tRNA from 1 species